rnacentral:rRNA from 2 species
AUUAAAUGCGCAGCUAUAAUGCAGUCGAGCGAAUCUAAGGGAGCUUGCUCCCUUUAGAUUACGGCGGACGGGUGAGUAACACGUGGGUAACCUGCCUGUAAAAUUGGGAUAACUCCGGGAAACCGGAGCUAAUACCGGAUAACAUGUCGAACCGCAUGGUUCGACUUUGAAAGAUGGCUUCGGCUAUCACUUACAGAUGGACCCGCGGCGCAUUACCUAGUUGGUGAGGUAACGGCUCACCAAGGCGACAAUGCGUACCCAACCUGAAAGGGUGAUCGGCCACACUGGGACUGAAACACGGCCCAAACUCCUACGGGAGGCAGCAUUAGGGAAUCUUCCGCAAUGGACAAAAGUCUGACGGACCAACCCCCCGUGAACAAUGAAGGCCUUCGGGUCGUAAAGUUCUGUUGUUAGGGAAAAACAAUUACCAAAUUAACUGCUGGUACCUUGACGGUACCUAACCAAAAAGCCACGGCUAACUACUUGCCACCACCCGCGGUAAUACUUAGGUGGCAAGCGUUGUCCGGAAUUAUUGGGCGUAAAGCGCGCGCAGGCGGUUUCUUAAUUCUGAUGUGAAAGCCCACGGCUCACCCGUGAAGGGUCAUUGGAAACUGGGGAACUUGAUUGCAAAAAAGGAGAGUGGAAUUCCACGUGUACCGGUGAAAUGCGUAAAGAUGUGAAGGAACACCAUGGGCGAAGGCAACUCUCUGGUCUGUAACUGACGCUAAGGCGCGAAAGCGUGGGGAGCGAACAGGAUUACUCUCUGGUCUGUAACUGACGCUGAGGCGCGAAAGCGUGGGGAGCGAACAGGAUUAGAUACCCUGGUAGUCCACGCCGUAAACGAUGAGUGCUAAGUGUUAGAGGGUUUCCGCCCUUUAGUGCUGCAGCAAACGCAUUAAGCACUCCGCCUGGGGAGUACGGUCGCAAGACUGAAACUCAAAGGAAUUGACGGGGGCCCGCACAAGCGGUGGAGCAUGUGGUUUAAUUCGAAGCAACGCGAAGAACCUUACCAGGUCUUGACAUCCUUCGCUACUUCUAGAGAUAGAAGGUUCCCCUUCGGGGGACGAAGUGACAGGUGGUGCAUGGUUGUCGUCAGCUCGUGUCGUGAGAUGUUGGGUUAAGUCCCGCAACGAGCGCAACCCUUGAUCUUAGUUGCCAGCAUUCAGUUGGGCACUCUAAGGUGACUGCCGGUGACAAACCGGAGGAAGGUGGGGAUGACGUCAAAUCAUCAUGCCCCUUAUGACCUGGGCUACACACGUGCUACAAUGGAUGGUACAAAGGGCUGCAAGACCGCGAGGUCAAGCCAAUCCCAUAAAACCAUUCUCAGUUCGGAUUGCAGGCUGCAACUCGCCUGCAUGAAGCCGGAAUCGCUAGUAAUCGCGGAUCAGCAUGCCGCGGUGAAUACGUUCCCGGGCCUUGUACACACCGCCCGUCACACCACGAGAGUUUGUAACACCCGAAGUCGGUGGGGUAACCGUAAGGAGCCAGCCGCCUAAGUGACAAUAC